AUUAUGGAGAGUUUGAUCCUGGCUCAGGAUGAACGCUGGCGGCGUGCCUAAUACAUGCAAGUCGAGCGAACAGACGAGGAGCUUGCUCCUC
rnacentral:rRNA from 1 species